CAGGCAAGUAGUAUCAAGGAUAUCCUGUCAACCCUUUCUCCUUUUCCUAGCAAGGUUAUUUAUUCUAUAUUGAUACAAUAACAAUAUAUUAGUGUCCCUUCCCCUUUUCAGGCAGAAAGGAAUUAUGUAGUAAAAGAUGUUAAUAAAUGUUGAAAUCAAUAACGAAGAAAAACUGACCCCCCCCCCCCCAUUUAUGAAAUUGUGGUAUUUUUUUUCAUUAUUGCAUUUUUUUUCAGUUCGUCUGUCAAAAUCUUUUGUAGGCCUACUCCCCCUCUGAAAUAUCUAUACCACAAGUCCAGUAUAUUCUGUCAGUUUAUACACACGUGUGUUAAUUUGACAUGAUAAUAUUACGUACCUACAUCUUUGUAUCCACCGCUUCCUUACUGUAGUAUCGACUAGGAACCUAAAUAAGCUACAUGGCAGAGUUUUACCAGUCUCAUGUAUGCAGCCGAUCGCUAAACAAUAUACCAAAUUACAUAUUAGCGCCGACUCUCUAUUACGAUUGUAUAUCUUCCACACGUUGUUGUACCCGGAAGUAGUAAAACCGAAAGUGAAACGAAACGAGACUUACAGAUCCUAUUCAACACCAUCGCCCUGUUCUCGCCUGACUCACCAUAUAUUUGGGUAUAGUAAAACAUAUCUAAACUGCGGUACGUAUUUACGUUCAAUUAUUUUUGCUUAAUUUGACAGCUCAACGUUUAUUUUAAUGGGUUUUGUGUAAUAGAGCUAUAUCUCUUUGUCAAUUAAUCAUCGUGGAAUAGAGAUUGGGUGUGUGUGUUUGAAGUAACAGGUGCAAGGCGCUGGUCGUCUAGCCUUUUCCCAGAGGUAUCGUGUGAGUUAGCCCGUUCAACUUAGGGCGAAUUUGUUGUGCUUAAACUAGUUUUAGUUUCGAAUCAGUUUAGUAAACUAUUCAUUUGUUUUUCGAACUGGUUUUGAACUAGUUUAAAACCAGGACUGGUUUUUUAUUUGUUUUUACCAAAACUUAAACCAGUUCGUUAAACCAACUAAACCACCUCUGGGGGCAGUUUAUUCAGUUUACGAAAGAGGCGGGAAAUCAAUCCAGCAUGGCGAUGUUGGAAACUUUUUCACCAACAGGCCAUUUUAUGUAUUGCUUUAGAAAUUCUCGACAAAUAAUAUUAGCAAGACGUUUCACGAUACCAAAUACAUAAUGUACUGUAUAUUCACAUACUCCAAAUUGGUCAGCGAUGGCUUGUAUUGUCAUUUGAGUUGUUAGGUAGCGUAGGAAAAGGAAUAAUUGUUUUUCCAUUGAUAUUAUUGUUUUGUCUUUAAAAUUUUCAAACAUUGACAAGAGGGAUGUAAAAGUUUCUUGACUCAUUCUAAAUCUUUGUCUGAAAUGAUGCUCGGUAUACUGGGGAAUUACCUCCUCAACAUAAAAAGGAAAUCUAGGGACUCUGAUCCGACGUUGAGGGACCAGGCUCAUCAGAGCAGAGCACAUUGAUGUUUGCAUUUGGAUUUGAGAUAGCCCAACUUCAGGAUCUUCUGUAUCAUCGCUUUCUAAUAAUGUAUUAUGAAGGAUUAGAGAUACACAUACUUGUUUUUGUCUUCUAGACGCCAUAUAUGUUAUUUAAACUGUUCAUUUGUUUCUUCGCUGUAAACCAAAGUGAAACCAAAACUGGUUUGAAAACUAUUUUCAAACUCAUAAACCAAAACCUUAACCAGUUUAUGAGCAACAAAUUGGCCCAGAGUUAGAGAGGAGAGCGAAUGUGGGGGGUUUCUGAGUUAAUUGGUUUGAAUGCUUUCUGUCUCUGUUGAAUGAUCGAAGUUUGAGAGAUGAAAGUAAGUUGAUGAAUUUAUGUAUUUUGCUUGAGAAAGAGUCUUGUGGGAGUGGAUUAAAUUAGGAGGUACAUGUACCUCGUGAGAAAGGAGAGAUCGAGUUUAACAGUGAAGGUGAAAGCAUGUGAUUUUUGGAUUGUGAAUUUCAUAUACUUCUGAACGUGUCCUUGUAUAUAUAUGUAGAUUUGUAAAUAAAUUUGUAAAUAGUACUACAGGCUUAUUGACGUUAUGAAACUAGUGCCGUCACAGGGAGGACCUUUGUGACAUUUGCAAGGCGACUCGCUUCUCCACCGGCAUUGUACAUGUCGUGUUGGCUUCAUGGUCGGUUCUUUUGAUAUUAUUGAAUUAACUGAAUUAAGUGAUUUAAGGGUUGCUGUUUUAUUCCCAUACAUCUACUGUAAUAUUUAAGCUUUAAUUUUGUUUAUUUUUUAAACUUAUCUGUAAGAUCGUAUUGUUUAUAUUUAGGCCUACUUAGCUAACCCGACAACACGUGCUGAUUCAUAUUAUUCCUCUGAUAAUAUUGUUCAACUUCGUAGAAAAUGUUGCGACGUACCAAGCGCCCAUCUAAAUCGCUUUACGCUAGACCGGCACAACAUCCAGCUCUUCGGUCACUGCCCACACAGAAUCUGACCCCUGCAAUUCCAACCCGGAUUCAGCCCCGUCCGACAUCAAGUCAACCCCAAGAGGAGAACCAGAUAGUCAUAGAGGGCACAACUAUCAUUCAAUCACAAAGGUAGCCUCCCAGCCUAAUCGCGGAAACCGUCGCAUCCACAUAACCACCGGCGACACCCUUCAUAACAGUUUGUAGGUUCCCGUACUACUGUCUGGAUUAUUGCCUCUUCCAUUAUUCAUUAUCCUGCUCGCCACGCAGAAAAGCAUUUCGGAAACCCGCAUAUGGAUCUACUAAAGCACAAUCUUUUGUGCGGUAAGAAUGGUAUGGUGUGGAAGGAGGUGGAGCCUAUUGUUGCACAAAGUGAUGGCAAAAACAAAAGUAACUCCAGGACAAAGUCGUAGAUGUCCAAUGUGUACAUAUGUAACAAGAGCUGAAGAUGAUUAUAAGAAGCAUGUGUUGCAAUGUGCUAAGCGAACCUUCAAUUGUACUUACUGCAAUUACAACAGUAACAAGGAAAUCAAUGUGAAGAGGCACGAAAGAAGAAGUCACCCUGGUAAGAGCCCAUCAAACUAGAUGGAAAACGAGAUCAUGCUAAAGAAUCAACUCCAUGCAACAGUAAAUCUGUGGAAGUGCAAGAUGCAGAACAGUCAGUGGAAGAGUGGUUGAAACAGGACUAUGGAGAUGUAAUUGGUAAUAUUUCAAUUGACAGUGGCGACAGUAGUAAUGAAGGUGACACGAGAGAUGACCAAAUCAGGCAAGAGAAAAGUGCCAUUAAAGAUCAGUUGUUGGAGGGAAGAGUCAUUCGGAAACAUACGACACCUGCUAAGCAGUAUGCUCCUCAAACCAAGAUUUCUCUUUCUUCCAGUAAACCAGAGGUUGCCUCAAAGGAAGCCGAUUGUGAAUGUCGCAAGAGGAAGCUAUCCAUUGAUUGAUGUUGAUGUUCAGACAGAAGUCAGUAAGAGGAUUGUCGUAACCAGACAAAUUAAGCGGUUUCGUGAGGUUGGCAUUGAUGAAGAGAUGAGGGAGGAGAAAGUUGAGUUUUUAAGUAUUUGCUAACUUUCGGUUAUACUCAGGAAGAGUUCCGCUGUACUUCAAAUUGCUUUGAAUUGUAUUAAACUAUUUUAAAUUCA